GUCGGGGGGUCGGGUCUCCUGGUGGGCGAGGAGGUGAGCGGUUGAGUGGACCCCCCGGGCGCGCAGGGGAACCGCCAGAUCCUCCCUUCUCCUCUGGGCACGAGGGGAGAGGAGGGUGUGCGGAGCUUGUCUCGCAGUCGCCGUCUGUCACCGAACCCCUGGUUGUCAGAGGACCCCCCAGAUCAAAACUCCCCCGCCCCAGAAUGACUCUCAUUUCUCCCCCAGAAAACGUGUCUCAGUUUAAUGAGAUUUGCCGAGCACAGAAACGAUUAGAAUAGGAUGUGGGUGAGUUAAAGGUCGUGAAAGAAAGACUGAGGAGUUCUGAAUGAAGGGGACAGAGCUGACAGUACACGGGAUCCCAAACCAGCAUUGGCGAUAAAUUCCAGACCGCUUUCAUAUAGGUAAGCACUCUCUAGUGAGGUAAACUUCCACCCUCCCUUCUGAAUCUUACAGCAUUAAAGCCUAGAACGGCACUCUAAAGCAUAAGGGAUAAUUUAUAGCAUUGAAGGUCCCUAUUUAUCAAUUCAGGGUCUGGACCGUACCAAGCAAGGGCUUUACUACCAAGCUCCACUCGAGGUCCUAAUAGUGAAACUAUCUAACAACUUUUUCAUAUAACCUGAAUCUUAAGUUAGGUAGGGGCAAACAUUUAUAACCCCAGAAUUUUGGAGGUGGGGGAAGGGUCAGAAAUUCAAGGUCAUGCUCAGUUAUGUAGUGAGUUCUAGGUCAAGCUGGCCAAUGUUAGAUCCUGUCUCAAUAAAACAAAGCAAAACAACCCAA